rnacentral:rRNA from 1 species
GACGGAGGGUGCUAGCGUUGUUCGGAAUUACUGGGCGUAAAGGGCGCGUAGGCGGCCUGUUAAGUCGAACGUGAAAUCCCCGGGCUCAACCCGGGAACUGCGUCCGAUACUGGCAGGCUUGAAUCCGGGAGAGGGAUGCGGAAUUCCAGGUGUAGCGGUGAAAUGCGUAGAUAUCUGGAGGAACACCGGUGGCGAAGGCGGCAUCCUGGACCGGCAUUGACGCUGAGGCGCGAAAGCCAGGGGAGCAAACGGG